rnacentral:rRNA from 1 species
AGAAUCAACGCUGGCGGCGUGCCUAACACAUGCAAGUCGCACGAGAAAGUGGAGCAAUCCAUGAGUACAGUGGCGCACGGGUGAGUAACACGUGACUAACCUACCCUUGAGUGGGGAAUAACCUGGAGAAAUCUAGGCUAAUACCGCAUAACACCUACGGGUCAAAGGAGCAAUUCGCUUAAGGAGGGGGUCGCGGCAGAUUAGCUAGUUGGCGGGGUAAUGGCCCACCAAGGCAGUGAUCUGUAUCCGGCCUGAGAGGGCGCACGGACACACUGGAACUGAAACACGGUCCAGACUCCUACGGGAGGCAGCAGUGGGGAAUUUUGCGCAAUGGGGGAAACCCUGACGCAGCAACGCCGCGUGGAGGAUGAAGUCCCUUGGGACGUAAACUCCUUUCGACCGGGAAGACUAAUGACGGUACCGGAAGAAGAAGCCCGGCUAACGUUCGCGCCAGCAGCCGC